ensembl:lncRNA ANKRD34C-AS1 ANKRD34C antisense RNA 1
GUUCCACGCUCACUGUGCGCCUCGGGCGGCGGGGCUCGGGCUCUGUCCGAGGUGCUGAACUCCGGGGCUCCGGCCGCGCCGGCAGAGUGUGCCAGCGUCCAUUAUUGCCAGUGUCUGUGGGCAUCUUCCAGAAGGCCGAGCAUGGGGGUCAGGUGAAACCAGGGCGCUCCCAAGCACCUUGCCCAGUAGAGCCCCCUUGCACCCUGCUUGGUUGGUCAGCACCCCAUGGACAUGCAGCCUUGACCUUGGCAUGGGAAGCCUCCACUGUGUCAAGCCCAACAUCCAGGCCUCUGAAGACAGUCAUUCAGUCUAGAAGCUGAGAUUCUUGAGUAUGACUGUUCCCCGGGGCAAGGGUAUCUCAACUUUGGCACUACUGACAUCUCCACGUAGGUUUUCCAGGAGAGAAUCCACUUUUUGUUUUAUCUGGGUCAACUCCUUCAUAAUGGCCUGAAGGUCAUCUCCUCUCAACUUUCCAGACUUGGAAGAUCCCUGCUGUCCACUCUUAGAAUUGAGGCCACUUUUGCCCCUUCAUGAGGUGUUUCCUGAUACACGCUGACGUUUUGAGAGCACUACAGC